GACGAACGCUGGCGGCGUGCCUAAUACAUGCAAGUAGAACGCGCAGUUUAUACCGUAGCUUGCUACACCAUAGACUGUGAGUUGCGAACGGGUGAGUAACGCGUAGGUAACCUGCCUGGUAGCGGGGGAUAACUAUUGGAAACGAUAGCUAAUACCGCAUAAUAUUAAUUAUUGCAUGAUAAUUAAUUGAAAGGUGCAAUUGCACCACUACCAGAUGGACCUGCGUUGUAUUAGCUAGUAGGUGAGGUAACGGCUCACCUAGGCGACGAUACAUAGCCGAACUGGGAGGGUGAUCGGCCACACUGGGACUGAGACAAGGCCCAGACUCCUACGGGAGGCAGCAGUAGGGAAUCUUCGGCAAUGGACGAAAGUCUGACCGAGCAACGCCGCGUGAGUGAAGAAGGUUUUCGGAUCGUAAAGCUCUGUUGUAAGAGAAGAACGGGUGUGAGAGUGGAAAGUUCACACUGUGACGGUAUCUUACCAGAAAGGGACGGCUAACUACGUG
rnacentral:rRNA from 1 species